GCCAAAAAUCUAGCCCCCACCUUUUUAAAAUAUUUCUUUUUACCUGAUCAAAUUAAACAAACCAUUUUUCCAAUUAAGUAUCGGCGAUAAAAAAAUUAACUGGAGCUAUAAAACUAGUACCGCAAGGGAAAGCUGAAAUAUAAGUGAAAUAAACGCUUAAGCAUAAAAAAGUAGAGACCUCCCCUUGUACCUUUUGCAUCAUGGUUUAACUAGUCCUUAUCAAGCAGAAAGAAUUUUAGUUUGACCCCCCGAAACUAAGUGAGCUACUCCAAGGCAGCCCUAUGAGCCAACCCGUCUCUGUUGCAAAAGAGUGGGAAGACCUUUGAGUAGAGGUGAUAGACCAAACGAACUUAGUGAUAGCUGGUUACCCGAUAAAAGAAUUUUAGUUCUACCUAAAGCCCUCAAUAAGUCUUAUAAACUAGCACUAAUGCUUUAGAGUUAUUCAAAUAAGGUACAGCCUAUUUGAACAAGGAAACAACCUAAACUAAUGGGUUAAUUCUGCAACAAUGUACCAAAGUGGGCCUAAAAGCAGCCACCUUUAACAAUAGCGUCAAAGCUUUUCUACACACGCAUGCCAAUUUCUCAACCCAAUCUAAACCCUUUAUUUUCAUCGAGUAAUUCUAUACCCUUAUAGAGUAUAAAAUGUUAAAACUAGUAACAAGAAGAAAGCCCUUCUCUUAAAUGUCAGUAUAAGCCAGAAAGGAUAAACCACUGUCAAUUAACACUAAUGACUUUUAAUUAGUAACACCACAAGAAAACCCUAAUAAAACAAGUGUUAAACUAACACAAGAACAUUUCAAGAAAGAUUAAAAGAAAAAGAAGGAACUCGGCAAACACCAACCCCGCCUGUUUACCAAAAACAUCGCCUCUUGACAAAUAUAAGAGGUCCAGCCUGCCCAGUGACCUAGUUCAACGGC
rnacentral:rRNA from 1 species